rnacentral:rRNA from 1 species
UACGUAGGGGGCUAGCGUUGCUCGGAAUGACUGGGCGUAAAGGGCGCGUAGGCGGAUGGCACAGUCAGAUGUGAAAUUCCUGGGCUUAACCUGGGGGCUGCAUUUGAUACGUGUGAUCUAGAGUGAGGAAGAGGGUUGUGGAAUUCCCAGUGUAGAGGUGAAAUUCGUAGAUAUUGGGAAGAACACCGGUGGCGAAGGCGGCGACCUGGUCCUUAACUGACGCUGAGGCGCGAAAGCGUGGGGAGCAAACAGG